AUAGUAUUUCCUCCGUCCGAAAAUACUUGUCUGAGGAAUGGAUAUAUCAAGACAUAUCUUAAUUUUAAAUACAUUCAUUCUUAUUCAUUUUUUCUACAAGUAUUUCCAGGCGGUGGGAGUACAAU
rnacentral:pre_miRNA from 1 species